AAGUGCUUGGCCGAGAUCGUGAAUUUUUUAACAAAUGACCUCAAAUCAGGCAAGAACACCCGCUGAACUUAAGCAUAUCAAUAAGCGGAGGAAAAGAAACUAACAAGGAUUCCCCUAGUAACGGCGAGUGAAGAGGGAAGAGCUCAAAUUUUAAAUCUGCCUUGUUUCAAGGUCGAGUUGUAAUUUGAAGAAGCGUUUUCUUGGGCUCGCGGCCGGUAGAAGUUCUUUGGAACAGGACAUCAUAGAGGGUGACAAUCCCGUCUGCGACCGGUCGUGCGUUCAUCUACGAUACGCUUUCAAAGAGUCGAGUUGUUUGGGAUUGCAGCUCCAAAUGGGUGGUAAACAUCACCUAAGGCUAAAUAUUGGCGAGAGACCGAUAGCGAACAAGUACCGUGAGGGAAAGAUGAAAAGAACUUUGAAAAGAGAGUUAAACAGUACGUGAAAUUGUUGAAAGGGAAACGAUUGAAGUCAGUCGUGCUGGCGCGAAAUCAACCCUCUCGUCGAGAGGACACAUGGCGUGGCGAGCCUCAACCGUCACGAAGCGUGAACUCUUGGCGAAAAGGAGCACUUUCGUGUCCGCUGGUUAACAUCAAUUUCGAACGUCAUAAAAAGGCUGGAGGGAUGUGGCUCCUUCGGGAGUGUUAUAACCUUUAGCGGAAUGUGGUGGUCGGGAUUGAGGAUUGCAACGAAUACCUUUAGGGCUGUUCCACCUGGCCUCUCUUUGGUAUCCUGGUGACGACAGCUUGCUGACGUUGUUAGGAUUCGCCAUUGAACAGGCUAGAGUGUGAGCAAAUUCGUUAAGGAUGUUAACGUAAUGGCUUUAAACGACC
rnacentral:rRNA from 1 species